CGAACGCUGGCGGCGUGCUUAACACAUGCAAGUCGAGCGAUGAAGCACCUUCGGGUGUGAAUUAGCGGCGAACGGGUGAGGAACACGUGAGAAAUCUGCCUUCAACACUGGGAUAACUCCGGGAAACCGGGGCUAAUACCGGAUAUGAAAUCUGCGGGCAUCCGCGGAUUUGGAAAGUUUUUCGGUUGAAGAUGAUCUCGCGGCCUAUCAGCUUGUUGGUGAGGUAAUGGCUCACCAAGGCGACGACGGGUAGCCGGCCUGAGAGGGCGACCGGCCACACUGGGGCUGAGACACGGCCCAGACUCCUACGGGAGGCAGCAGUGGGGAAUAUUGGGCAAUGGAGGAAACUCUGACCCAGCGACGCCGCGUGCGGGAUGAAGGCCUUCGGUUGUAACCGCUUUCAGCAGGAAGAAGCGAAAGUGACGGUACCUGCAGAAGAAGCACCGGCUAACUAUGUGCCAGCAG
rnacentral:rRNA from 1 species